UUGCUGCAGACGCUCACCCCAGAUACUCACUGCACCGGAGUGAGCGCGACCAUCAUGUCCAUGUUGGUGGUCUUUCUCUUGCUCUGGGGUGAGGCCUCCUGGGGUCUGGGUCCCUGGGGCGGGAGGGGGCGGGAACGGGAGCCUCACGGGGGCUGUCUCCGCAGGUCUCCCCUGGGGCCCAGUGACAGAAGCAGCCAUAUUUUAUGAGACCCAGCCCAGCCUGUGGGCAGAGUCCGAAUCGCUGCUGAAACCCUCGGCCAAUGUGACGCUGACGUGCCAGGCCCGCCUGGAGACCCCAGACUUCCAGCUGUUCAAGAAUGGGGUGGCCCAGAAGCCUGUGCACCUUGACUUACCUGCCAUCAAGCACCAGUUCCUGCUGACGGGUGACACCCAGGGCCGCUACCGCUGCCGCUCAGGCUUGUCCACAGGAUGGACCCAGCUGAGCAAGCUCCUGGAGCUGACAGGGCCAAAGUCCUUGCCUGCUCCCUGGCUCUCAAUGACGCCAGUGUCCUGGAUCACUCCCGGCCUGAACACAACAGCAGUGUGCCGAGGCGGGCUGCGGGGUGUGACUUUUCUGCUGAGGCGGGAAGGCGACCAUGAGUUUCUGGAGGUGCCUGAGGCCCAGGAGGAUGUGGAGGCCACCUUUCCAGUCCAUCAGGCUGGCAACUAUAGCUGCAGCUACCGGACCCAUGGGGAAGGCGCUCUCUCUGAGCCCAGCACUACUGUGACCAUUGAGGAGCUCGGUGACUGUGGGAACCAUCUCCGGGGGCUGCUGGGGGAGGAGGAUACAGGGGGCAUGACCACAUUCACCCUGACCUCCAUGCUGAAUGCCCUUGCUCAGGACCAGGUCCAGGAAGCUGGCCACACAGUUGCCUGGGUCUGAUGGUUGCAAAGGAGUUUGGGCAGAGGAUGCCCAAAGAAUGGAAGGGUGGGCUGGGUCCGGUGGCUCACGCCUAUAAUCCCAGCACUUUGGGAGGCUAAGGCCACCGGAUCAUGAGGUCAAGAGAUCGAGACCAGUCUACCCAACAUGAUGAAACCCUGUCUCUACUAAAAAUACAAAAAUUAGCCAGGUGUGGUGGCAGGUGCCUGUAGUACCAGCUACUCGGGAGGCUGAGGCAGGAGAAUCCCUUGAACGUGGGAGGCAGAGGUUGCAGUGAGCCGAGAUGGCACCACUGCACUCUGGCCUGGGCAACAAGAGCGAAACUCCGUUUCAAAAAAAGAAUGGAAGGGUGUUCCUGGGGUUGCCCCCCAGAGGGCAGAGGUCUGGGGACUGGGCAGAGGGCAGCUCCAGGGAUGGGGCAGCCUAGUAAUGCUGCCUGCAUUGCAGCUGCACCACCACCACCUGUGCUGAUGCACGGUGGAGAGUCCACCCAGGUCCUGCACCCUGGCAACAAGGUGACCCUCACCUGCGUGGCUCCCCUGAGUGGAGUGGACUUCCAGCUACGGCGUGGGGAGAAAGAGCUGCUGGUACCCAGGAGCAGCACCAGCCCAGACCGUGUCUUCUUUCACCUGAACGCGGUGGCCCUGGGGGAUGGAGGUCACUACACCUGCCGCUACCAGCUGCAUGACAACCAAAAUGCCUGGUCCAGGGACAGCGCGCCAGUCGAGCUGAUUCUGAGUGAUGAGACGCUGCCCGCGCCAGAGUUCUCACCGGAGCAGGAGUCCGGCAGGGCCUUGCGGCUGCGGUGCCUGGCGCCCCUGGAGGGCGCGCGCUUCGCCCUGGUGCGCGAGGACAGGGGCGGGCGCCGCGUGCACCGUUUCCAGAGCCCCGCUGGGACCGAGGCCCUCUUCGAGCUGCACAACAUUUCCGUGGCUGACUCUGCCAACUACAGCUGCGUCUACGUGGACCUGAAGCCGCCUUUCGGGGGCUCCGCGCCCAGCAAGCGCUUGGAGCUGCGCGUGGACGGACCCCCUCCCAGGCCUCAGCUCCGGGCAACGUGGAGCGGGGCGGUCCUGGCGGGCCGAGACGCCGUCCUGCGCUGCGAGGGACCCAUCCCCGACGUCACCUUCGAGCUGCUGCGCGAGGGCGAGACGAAGCCCGUGAAGACGGUCCGCACCCCCGGGGCCGUGGCGAACCUCGAGCUGCUCUUCGUGGGGCCCCAGCACGCUGGCAACUACAGGUGCCGCUACCGCUCCUGGGUGCCCAACACCUUCGAAUCGGAGCUCAGCGACCCUGUGGAGCUCCGGGUGGCAGAAAGCUGAUGCAGCCGCGGGCCCAGGGUGCUGUUGGUGUCCUCAGAAGUGCCGGGGAUUCUGGACUAGCUCCCUCCCCUCCUGUUGCAGCAGAAGGCCGGGGUCUCUGGGGGGCUGGAGAAGGCUCCCUCAUUCUUCCCAGGAAUUAAUAAAUGUGAAGAGAGGCUCUGUUU
rnacentral:sRNA from 1 species